AAAAUCCGUCGACUUUUUAAGUUGUGAGGGUUCAAGUCCCCCCAUCCCCCA
rnacentral:tRNA from 1 species